UACGUAGGGGGCAAGCGUUGUUCGGAUUUACUGGGCGUAAAGAGCGUGUAGGCGGUCCGGUAAGUCCGCUGUGAAAGUCGGGGGCUCAACCCUCGAAUGCCGGUGGAUACUGUCGGGCUAGAGUGCGGAAGAGGCGAGUGGAAUUCCUGGUGUAGCGGUGAAAUGCGCAGAUAUCAGGAGGAACACCUAUUGCGAAGGCAGCUCGCUGGGACGCAACUGACGCUGAGACGCGAAAGCGUGGGGAGCAAACAGG
rnacentral:rRNA from 1 species